rnacentral:lncRNA from 1 species
UGUGGACUUCAACUCUGACAAGUCUGAAUCCCAGUGGAAACGCAAGUUAGCCUCAAACUGAGAACCUCAUACUACAUUCAGAAUAUGUUUUCAUCUUUCCAAAAUGUCACCAACAAUGAGAUGAGAGGAACCUGAACCAAAAGGAUGAGAGUAGAGAUGGAAAGUAAAUGUUGUUACAAAGGCUAAAUCAGAAAUUUGUCCCAGAUCUAGUAUGGAUCAUGAAGAAGAAGACAGAAUGAAAGAACACUCUUACCAUUCUGAGUGCCGAAAGCAGGAGGUGGUUCCUAAAAAUAUGAAGUUUGGGUAUCCUAUAAAAUGAGAGAAGAAUGUCUAUCUUCAUUAUGUUCCAGUACCCAGAUAAAUGAACCUGCUGUUCUAAGGGGGA